UACGUAGGGGGCAAGCGUUGUCCGGAAUCAUUGGGCGUAAAGCGCGUGUAGGCGGUUCAGUAAGUCUGCUGUGAAAAGUCCAGGGCUCAACCCUGGGAUGCCGGUGGAUACUGCUGGGCUAGAGUACGGAAGAGGCGAGUGGAAUUCCCGGUGUAGCGGUGAAAUGCGCAGAUAUCGGGAGGAACACCAAUUGCGAAGGCAGCUCGCUGGGACGUUACUGACGCUGAGACGCGAAAGCGUGGGGAGCAAACAGG
rnacentral:rRNA from 1 species